AGGACGAACGCUGGCGGCGUGCUUAACACAUGCAAGUCGAGCGGUAAGGCCUUUCGGGGUACACGAGCGGCGAACGGGUGAGUAACACGUGGGUGAUCUGCCCUGCACUCUGGGAUAAGCUUGGGAAACUGGGUCUAAUACCGGAUAUGACCGCAUGCCGCAUGGUGUGUGGUGGAAAGAUUUAUCGGUGCAGGAUGGGCCCGCGGCCUAUCAGCUUGUUGGUGGGUAAUGGCCUACCAAGGCGACGACGGGUAGCCGACCUGAGAGGGUGACCGGCCACACUGGGACUGAGACACGGCCCAGACUCCUACGGGAGCAGCAGUGGGAAUAUGCACAAUGGGCGAAGCCUGAUGCAGCGACGCGCGUGAGGAUGAAGGCCUUCGGGUUGUAAACCUCUUUACAGUCGAGGUACGAAGCGUAGAGCGACGUACCUGACAAAGAGCACGGCUAACGUACGUGCCAGCAGCCGC
rnacentral:rRNA from 1 species